CCACUGUUUUCAUUUCAGUUGCUAGUUUACUAAUUACUUUUCUUUUCCUUUUGACCACAGGUAGUAAUCACCACCACCACCAUCACCACCACCACCACCACAAGGCUCUCAAUACCAGCGUGGUGUGGAGUUUUGAUUUUAUCGUUGGCAAAUCGUGGAAAUAACGUCAUUGGAGGUGUUGUUCAGCGCGCCCUCUUGUUACCCGGCUCAGCGCUCCUGUCUCAAGGAGGAACACGAGGCGAAGGAGCGACGGCGAGGGAGUGUGUGACGCGACUCCCUGGCGACCGCUUACUGGCAGGCGGACGGCCCUCACCACCACCACCACCUCCAUCACCACCACCACCACCGUUCUUCAUGACCCGCCCACCUCCAUCACUACCACUACCACUACUGCUCCAUAACCUGCACAUCAUCACUACUAUUAUUGCUUCAUAGCCCAUCUACUACCACCAUAAUCACCAUCACCACCAUUUCCAUUACCGUUACCGCCGCUACUACUGUCAUUACAAUCCUUGCCAUCACCGCCGCCAUUACUUUUUUUUUUAAUGAUCCACCCACCACGACCAUCAUUACCACUAUCACCACUACUUACUGCUUCCAUGACCUCACCUCCACCACCACCAUCAUCCUCACUACUACCACCACUACUACCACCAUCCCUCAUGACCCACCACCACCGCCACCUCUACUGCCAACAUCACUACAAUCAUCGACACCACCAUCGUCACCACAAACUUCACCAGCAUCACCCCGCGAUCCGCUCAUCACCGCCACUACCACCACCUCCACCACCAUAGCCCAUAACCUUUCUUCCACCACCACCACCACCACUACUCUCCAUAGCCCGCCCUCCACCACCACCACUACCGCCGCCGCCGCCAUACCAUCAACAUCAACAGUACCGCACAACGUUUUCAUUUACAUCCAUUUACAUCUCAUCUAUUCAGUGCCAAUGUUUAAAAUUUAUCAGACUUUUUUAUUCCCCUCUUCACUUUGAUUACGGGUCGGACUUACACAGAAACCGACAGAUUUUCAGUGGAAGCCGGAGAGCUGGCGUAAUGUAUUACUUCUGAAGGUGAGGCAGAACAUGUGUUCCUGCAAGGUAAGAUAUAUGAAAUUUAUUUGUACAUCUACAUCACGUCGUUCGAUAAUGGUAUAGAACGAAUUGCCCAACAGAUAGCUCAGUUGUUAUUUGUUCAUCCGUAUAUUGCGACGCAGGUAGUACAUGAGGUUGUGAAUUGUAUUUUGAUUUUACAGUUGUAAGUUAUGAAGUAUAUAUGUAUUUGAGCUUGGUUUUGCAGCUUGAGUAAAUAACGUAGUAAUUUUGUGUGUUGAUACUGAAACUUAACAGCAUUCGGUUGCUUUACAAUUGUUUGUUCGAAUCCCAAGUUCGCGCAAGGGUUCACUUCACUUGCGAGCGGCAGGUCAGUGGAGUCGCUGCCACAGGGAGGGGCGGUUGGCGAGCUGCGGCCCACAUUCCCAUCUCUGACCCAGCACGAUGUGUCCUCGAACGUGUGGGGGCGACCCGCACCGCCUGAAGGGCCUGAGGAAGGAGUGAAUAACCCAAGGAAUCCGAGCGGCUCUUCAGAGGGCGGUGAGGAGCGACGAGACGUCAGCCACUGGUCUGCGAGGAGGGCGGGUAGGGCAAGACGACCACCACCAUGUCCACCGCCUCCACCUUGCCUGGGGCUCACCUCUGCUUCAUGGAACUGGGGACCUUCAUAUCAAAAGGUUAUGAUAUCUUGAGCUUCAACUCCGACAACUUCUCUUCUGGACCGCCUUGGUGAUGUCCUAUACACUGGCGCCUGGAUUUCUGAGGGUUGCGUGAGUUCUGUAAAGCAACCAGCCGACAGAAUUUCCUGGUGACGCCCCUCCGGAAGCUGUAGAAGCGUGCAUCCCUUGAGACCUGAAGCGAUUGCCUUCCCUCGUCCUUAUGACAGAUGAACCAGCAAUCCAGACUUGGGGGAGUUAUUGUGAGAUUGAACAGUAUUCUCAUGCUAUUGUUUGUUUGAACUCAAUUAUAUUUCUUUUAAAAUCAAAUCAGAAGCUCAGAAAACUUUUGAGAGGUUAGGUAUUUCAAGUUCGUUCCAUCCAAAUAAAGAUUCUAA